rfam:Zostera marina strain Finnish scaffold_3, whole genome shotgun sequence.
AUACUUACCUGGACGGGGUUGAUGGCUGAACAAGAAGGGUCAUGACCUAGGUUGGUGAUCUCCAUUGCACUUUGGAAAAGCAUCAACCUAACAUCUUCCCAUGUGGGAGAGUGUACGUCAUAAUUUGUUUCUUUGGGGGUACGCGUUCGCGCGUCCCUUG